CAGAGGUACUGCUMUSGRGAUUCGACUAAGCCAUGCGAGUUGAAUGUUCUUCGUGAACAUGGCGGACUGCUCAGUAACACGUGGACAACCUACCCUUGGGUCCGGCAUAAUCCUGGGAAACUGGGAAUAAUUCCGGAUAGGUCACCGAUGCUGGAAUGCGCGGUGGCCGAAAGCUCCGGCGCCCGAGGAUGGGUCUGCGGCCUAUCAGGGUUGUAGUGGGUGUAACGUACCUACUAGCCUACGACGGGUACGGGUUGUGAGAGCAAGAGCCCGGAGAUGGAUUCUGAGACACGAAUCCAGGCCCUACGGGGUGCAGCAGGCGCGAAAACUUUACAAUGCGGGAAACCGUGAUAAGGGGAUCUCGAGUGCCAGCAUAUAAUGUUGGCUGUCCAGAUGCCUAAAAAGCAUCUGUUAGCAAGGGCCGGGCAAGACCGGUGCCAGCCGCCGCGGUAACACCGGCGGCCCGAGUGGUAACCGCUAUUAUUGGGUCUAAAGGGUCUGUAGCCGGCCAGGUAAGUCCCUUGGGAAAUCUGGCAGCUCAACUGUCAGGCUGCUAGGGGAUACUGUUUGGCUUGGGACCGGGAGAGGUGAGAGGUACCUUGGGGGUAGGGGUGAAAUCUUGUGAUCCUCGAGGGACCACCAGUGGCGAAGGCGUCUCACCAGAACGGGUCCGACGGUAAGGGACGAAAGCUAGGGGCACGAACCGGAUUAGAUACCCGGGUAGUCCUAGCCGUAAACGAUGCUCGCUAGGUGUCAGUCACGGUGCGACCGUGAUUGGUGCCGUAGGGAAGCCGUGAAGCGAGCCACCUGGGAAGUAUGGCCGCAAGGCUGAAACUUAAAGGAAUUGGCGGGRGMGCRCKWCAWCGGGUGGAGCCUGCGGUUAAUG
rnacentral:rRNA from 1 species